AUCAUACUGUGAAACUGCGAAUGGCUCAUUAAAUCAGUUAUCGUUUAUUUGAUAGUACCUUUACCUGGAUAACCGUGGUAAUUCUAGAGCUAAUACAUGCUAAAAACCUCGACUUCGGAAGGGGUGUAUUUAUUAGAUAAAAAACCAAUGCCCUUCGGGGCUCCUUGGUGAUUCAUAAUAACUUAACGAAUCGCAUGGCCUUGCGCCGGCGAUGGUUCAUUCAAAUUUCUGCCCUAUCAACUUUCGAUGGUAGGAUAGUGGCCUACCAUGGUCUCAACGGGUAACGGGGAAUUAGGGUUCUAUUCCGGAGAGGGAGCCUGAGAAACGGCUACCACAUCCAAGGAAGGCAGCAGGCGCGCAAAUUACCCAAUCCCAACACGGGGAGGUAGUGACAAUAAAUACUGAUACGGGGCUCUUUCGGGUCUCGUAAUUGGAAUGAGUACAAUCUAAAUCCCUUAACGAGGAACAAUUGGAGGGCAAGUCUGGUGCCAGCAGCCGCGGUAAUUCCAGCUCCAAUAGCGUAUAUUAAAGUUGUUGCCGUUAAAAAGCUCGUAGUUGAACCUUGGACCUGGCUGAUCUGUCCUCCUAAUCGAGCGCACGGAUUCGGUCGGGUCUUUCCUUCUGGGGAGCCCGAUGCCCUUCACUGGGUGUCGUGGGGAACCAGGACUUUUACCUUGAAAAAAUUAGAGUGUUCAAAGCAGGCCUUUGCUCGAAUACAUUAGCAUGGAAUAAUAGAAUAGGACAUCGGUUCUAUUUUGUUGGUUUCUAGGACCGCUGUAAUGAUUAAUAGGGAUAGUCGGGGGCGUCAGUAUUCAAUUGUCAGAGGUGAAAUUCUUGGAUUUAUUGAAGACUAACUACUGCGAAAGCAUUCGCCAAGGAUGUUUUCAUUAAUCAGUGAACGAAAGUUAGGGGAUCGAAGACGAUCAGAUACCGUCGUAGUCUUAACCAUAAACUAUGCCGACUAGGGAUCGGACGGUGGUUUUUUUAUGCCCCGUUCGGCACCUUACGAGAAAUCAAAG
rnacentral:rRNA from 1 species